rnacentral:tRNA from 1 species
GGCGUUGUGGCUCAGUAGUAGAGUACUUGCCUAGCAUGCAAGAGGCAUUGGGCUCAAUCCUCAGCACCU